rnacentral:rRNA from 1 species
AGCAGCCGCCGCGGUAAUACGAAGGGGGCUAGCGUUGUUCGGAAUUACUGGGCGUAAAGCGCACGUAGGCGGAUAUUUAAGUCAGGGGUGAAAUCCCAGAGCUCAACUCUGGAACUGCCUUUGAUACUGGGUAUCUUGAGUAUGGAAGAGGUGAGUGGAAUUCCGAGUGUAGAGGUGAAAUUCGUAGAUAUUCGGAGGAACACCAGUGGCGAAGGCGGCUCACUGGUCCAUUACUGACGCUGGGGUGCGAAAGCGUGGGGAGCAAACAGGAUUAGAUACCCCAGUAGUCCCUGUCUCUUAUAC